ACCGGAGCUAAUACCGGAUAAUAUUUUGAACCGCAUGGUUCAAAAGUAAAGACGGUCUUGCUGUCACUUAUAGAUGGAUCCGCGCUGCAUUAGCUAGUUGGUAAGGUAACGGCUUACCAAGGCAACGAUGCAUAGCCGACCUGAGAGGGUGAUCGGCCACACUGGAACUGAGACACGGUCCAG
rnacentral:rRNA from 1 species